rnacentral:rRNA from 1 species
GAUGAACGCUGGCGGCGUGCCUAAUACAUGCAAGUCGAGCGAACGGACGAGAAGCGCGGGUCUCUGGUGUUAGCGGCGGACGGGUGAGUAACACGUGGAUAGCCUAGCUAUAAGACUGGGGUAACGUCGGGAAACCGGAGCUAAUACCGGAUAAUAUUUUGAACGGGAUGGUUCAAAAGUUAAAGACGGUCUGGCUGUCACUUCUAGAUGGAUCCGCGCUGCAUUAGUUAGUUGGUAAGGUAACGGCUUACGAAGGCAACGAUGCAUAGCCGACCUGAGAGGCGGAUCGGCCACCCUGGAGCGGGGACACGGUCCAGACUACUGAGAGACGCAGCAGUAGGGAACGUUACGCAGUGGGCGAAAGCAUGACGGAGCGGCGGCGAGUGAGUGGCGAAGGCCUUCGGUGCGUAAAACUCUGUUACUAGGGAUGAACAUAUGUGUAAGGAACUGAGCACAUCUUGACGGUACCUAAUCAGAGAACCACGGCUUACUUCGUG